GACGAACGCUGGCGGCGUGCCUAAUACAUGCAAGUCGAGCGAAGUUUUUCCGGUGCUUGCACCGGAAAAACUUAGCGGCGCACGGGUGAGUAACACGUAAAGAACCUGCCUCAUAGACUGGGACAACUAUUGGAAACGAUAGCUAAUACCGGAUAAUAGCAUUAACUGCAUGGUUGAUGUUUAAAAGUUGGUUUUGCUAACACUAUGAGAUGGCUUUGCGGUGCAUUAGCUAGUUGGUGGGGUAAAGGCCUACCAAGGCGACGAUGCAUAGCCGACCUGAGAGGGUGAUCGGCCACACUGGGACUGAGACACGGCCCAGACUCCUACGGGAGGCAGCAGUAGGGAAUCUUCCGCAAUGGGCGAAAGCCUGACGGAGCAACGCCGCGUGAGUGAAGAAGGAUUUCGGUUCGUAAAGCUCUGUUGUUAGGGAAGAAUGAUUGUGUAGUAACUAUACACAGUAGAGACGGCACCUAACCAGAAAGCCACGGCUAACUACGUG
rnacentral:rRNA from 1 species